rnacentral:rRNA from 1 species
UACGUAGGGGGCAAGCGUUGUCCGGAAUCAUUGGGCGUAAAGAGCUUGUAGGCGGUCUGUCGCGUCUGCUGUGAAAAUCCGGGGCUCAACCCCGGACUUGCAGUGGGUACGGGCAGACUAGAGUGUGGUAGGGGAGACUGGAAUUCCUGGUGUAGCGGUGAAAUGCGCAGAUAUCAGGAGGAACACCGAUGGCGAAGGCAGGUCUCUGGGCAACAACUGACGCUGAGGAGCGAAAGCGUGGGGAGCGAACAGG